rnacentral:rRNA from 1 species
CCUACGGGAGGCAGCAGUGGGGAAUUUUGGACAAUGGGCGAAAGCCUGAUCCAGCCAUACCGCGUGCGGGAAGAAGGCCUUCGGGUUGUAAACCGCUUUUGUCAGGGAAGAAAUGCUCCGGGUUAAUACCCUGGGGUGAUGACGGUACCUGAAGAAUAAGCACCGGCUAACUACGUGCCAGCAGCCGCGGUAAUACGUAGGGUGCAAGCGUUAAUCGGAAUUACUGGGCGUAAAGCGUGCGCAGGCGGUUCUAUAAGACAGAUGUGAAAUCCCCGGGCUCAACCUGGGAACUGCAUUUGUGACUGUAGAGCUAGAGUACGGUAGAGGGGGAUGGAAUUCCGCGUGUAGCAGUGGAAUGCGUAGAUAUGCGGAGGAACACCGAUGGCGAAGGCAAUCCCCUGGACCUGUACUGACGCUCAUGCACGAAAGCGUGGGGAGCAAACAGGAUUAGAUACCCUGGUAGUCCACGCCCUAAACGAUGUCAACUGGUUGUUGGGAGGGUUUCUUCUCAGUAACGAAGCUAACGCGUGAAGUUGACCGCCUGGGGAGUACGGCCGCAAGGUUGAAACUUAAANGAAUUGACGGNNGAGACGNGCGAGACGACACGAGGAGAG